AGGCCCCAGCCCCUCCAGAUGCUCCUUCAGCUGUUCUGGGAAAGGCUUAUCACUGUUCCCUACCGUUGGUCUACGCGUCUGAGGAUGCUUCUCUUACAUUUCGGAAUAUCCAGAUGCAGCCAUUUAUGGACAGUACUGAGAAAUUCUCGGAUGCAUUUGACUGCAUUGGAUUUACUAGUGUGCCCAUAUGGUCUGGUCUAAUGGUAACAUUUAUAAUGCUUAUUGGUCUAUCUGUGUCCAUAACUAUGAUAUUGGAUAUAAAAACCAUGGACAAAUUCGAAAAUAGUCGCAGCAAACAACUGACUAUAACUGUUUCUGAAUAAAUGUUUUAAAGCGAAUUAC